UACGAAGGUCCCGAGCGUUGUUCGGAAUCACUGGGCGUAAAGGGAGCGUAGGCGGCGUGGUAAGUCAGAUGUGAAAUCCCGGGGCUCAACCCCGGAACUGCAUCCGAUACUGCCGUGCUAGAGGGUUGGAGAGGUAGCUGGAAUUCUUGGUGUAGCAGUGAAAUGCGUGGAGAUCAAGAGGAACACUCGUGGCGAAAGCGAGCUACUGGACAAUAUCUGACGCUGAGGCUCGAAGGCCAGGGUAGCGAAAGGG
rnacentral:rRNA from 1 species